rnacentral:lncRNA from 1 species
GUAGUUAGGUGUGAAUUUUCGAGACCUCUGGCACCGUUCUAAGAUGGGUCCUCUCUUCGUAGGCUAAUGCGUUGGCCCUUUUUGACCCGUUUUGGGGCGAAAACAAAAACUGACUCCCGGGCAUAUUUUUUCGGCCUUUAUGGGCAAAGAACUUUAAUGCCGCUCAGAAUGAGGCCACCCAGUAGUUAGGUGUGAAUUUUUGAGACCUCUGGCACCGUUCUAAGAUGGGUCCUCUCUUCGUAGGCUAAUGCAUUGGCCCUUUUUGACCCGUUUUGGGGCGAAAACAAAAACUGACUCCCGGGCAUAUUUUUUUCGGCCUUUAUGGGCAAAGAACUUUAAUGCCGCUCAGAAUGAGGCCACCCAGUAGUUAGGUGUGAAUUUUCGAGACCUCUGCACGUUCUAAGAUGGGUCCUCUCUUCGUAGGCUAAUGCGUUGGCCCUUUUUGACCCGUUUUGGAACGAAAACAAAAACUGACUCCCGGGCAUAUUUUUUUCGGCCUUUAUGGGCAAAGAACUUUAAUGCCGCUCAGAAUGAGGCCACCCAGUAGUUAGGUGUGAAUUUUCGAGACCUCUGGCACCGUUCUAAGAUGGGUCCUCUCUUCGUAGGCUAAUGCGUUGGCCCUUUUUGACCCGUUUUGGGCGAAAACAAAAACGGACUCCCGGGCAUAUUUUUUUCGGCUUUUAUGGGCAAAGAACUUUAAUGCCGCUCAGAAUGAGGCCACCCAGUAGUUAGGUGUGAAUUUUCGAGACCUCUGGCACCGUUCUAAGAUGGGUCCUCUCUUCGUAGGUUAAUGCGUUGGCCCUUUUUGACCCGUUUUGGAACGAAAACAAAAACUGACUCCGCGGCAUAUUUUUUUCGGCCUUUAUGGGCAAAGAACUUUAAUGCCGCUCAGAAUGAGGCCACCCAGUAGUUAGGUGUGAAUUUUCGAGACCUCUGGCACCGUUCUAAGAUGGGUCCUCUCUUCGUAGGCUAAUGCGUUGGCCCUUUUUGACCCGUUUUGGGGCGAAAACAAAAACUGACUCCGGGCAUAUUUUUUUCGGCCUUUAUGGGCAAAGAACUUUAAUGCCGCUCAGAAUGAGGCCACCCAGUAGUUAGGUGUGAAUUUUCGAGACCUCUGGCACCGUUCUAUGAUGGGUCCUCUCUUCGUAGGCUAAUGCAUUGGCCCGUUUUGGGGCCAAAACAAAAACUGACUCCCGGCAUACUUUUUUCGGCCUUUAUGGGCAAGAACUUUAAUGCCGCUCAGAAUGAGGCCACCAGUAGUUAGGUGUGAAUUUUCGAGACCUCUGGCACCGUUCUAAGAUGGGUCCUCUCUUCGUAGGCUAAUGCAUUGGCCCUUUUCGACCCGUUUUGGGGCGAAAACAAAAACUGACUCCCGGGCAUAUUUUUUUCGGCCUUUAUGGGCAAAGAACUUUAAUGCCGCUCAGAAUGAGGCCACCCAGUAGUUAGGUGUGAAUUUUCGAGACCUCUGGCACCGUUCUAAGAUGGGUCCUCUCUUUCUAGGCUAAUGCAUUGGCCCUUUUCGACCCGUUUUUGGGCGAAAACAAAAACUGACUCCCGGGCAUAUCUUUUUCGGCCUUGAUGGGCAAAGAACUUUAAUGCCGCUCAGAAUGAGGCCACCCAGUAGUUAGGUGUGAAUUUUCGAGACCUCUGGCACCGUUCUAAGAUGGGUCCUCUCUUCGUAGGCUAAUGCGUUGGCCUUUUUGACCCGUUUUGGAACGAAAACAAAAACUGACUCCCGGCAUAUUUUUUUUCGGCUUUAUGGGCAAAGAACUUUAAUGCCGCUCAGAAUGAGGCACCCAGUAGUUAGGUGUGAAUUUUCGAGACCUCUGGCACCGUUCUAAGAUGGGUCCUCUCUUCGUAGGCUAAUGCGUUGGCCCUUUUUGACCCGUUUUGGGGCGAAAACAAAAACUGACUCCCGGGCAUAUUUUUUUCGGCCUUUAUGGGCAAAGAACUUUAAUGCGCUCAGAAUGAGGCCACCCAAUAGUUAGGUGUGAAUUUUCGAGACCUCUGGCACCGUUCUAAGAUGGGUCUCUUCUUCGUAGGCUAAUGCAUUGGCCCUUUUCGACCCGUUUUGGGGCGAAAACAAAAACUGACUCCCGGGCAUAUUUUUUUCGGCCUUUAUGGGCAAAGAACUUUAAUGGCGCUCAGAAUGAGGCCACCCAGUAGUUAGGUGUGAAUUUUCGAGACCUCUGGCACCGUUCUAAGAUGGGUCCUCUCUUCGUAGGCUAAUGCAUUGGCCCUUUUCGACCCGUUUUGGGGCGAAAACAAAAACUGACUCCGGGCAUAUUUUUUUCGGCCUUUAUGGGCAAAGAACUUUAAUGCCGCUCAGAAUGAGGCCACCAGUAGUUAGGUGUGAAUUUUCGAGACCUCUGGCACCGUUCUAAGAUGGGUCCUCUCUUUGUAGGCUAAUGCAUUGGCUCCUUUCGACCCGUUUUGGGGCGAAAACAAAACCUGACUCCCGGGCAUAUUUUUUUCGGC